CAUGGGAGUUUGGAGGAUUGUUUAAGGGUGUUUACGGAAUAACAUUCUUCAAUUUACGUCAAAUUGGACAUAUAUGGAAUUAGUGAAAUUAUGAACCGAUAGUAUAAGAGAUUUGGGAAAUAGUGUACAUGCUUAAAUGAAAUAAAGAUCUUGAAAUUCUCUAUUUACAUCCAUAAUUGUUCUGAACAGUUCUAGUUAUAAGAUACAUUUGAAAGUGAUAUAUUUCAUUACACUGCUCAAAGUAUAUAUUUAAAUUAUAUACAUAAGAAACGUUAAGAUGGAUGGAAGAGUUGUUGCACUGUGCUUCUUCUGUUUCUUUGUGAUUGCAGAAUCUUUCUUGACUGAUAAACCAUAUUGUAGCCAUGGCAAUUAUUUAUCCAAUAUAUAUUGUGGUCGAGGAUCUACUACGCCAUGUCCCGAUGACUAUUCAUGUCACGUGCAUCCUGCCGAUCGAUGGGCUGUCUGCUGCCCAAAAG